GAAGGGGUCUGGCACACCCCAGAGCCAAGGCAAGGGAUCAGUGGGCGACCAGGAGUCUAGAGGUUUACGAGAAUCAGAACCCCCCUACAUCAUUUUGGCUAGCUCGACACGCCAAAAAGCCUUGGUUCUCGAACAACGACCCGAAAACAAGCCGGAUACUCGACCACAGGUGCCAGAUGACGCACACGACUCGUGAUUUUCAGCUUCUUGGGCACUAGAUAUGGGCUUGGCCUCAAAAAUUAUGAUUCUUGAAAAUAUUAAUGUCUGUUCCUGUCACUUUGCCUUUUGUUCGUAAUGUAUAUAUAGGGGGGAUGGGGUCUGGCACACCCCAGAGCCAAGGCAAGGGAUCACUGGGCGACCAGUGGUCUAGAGGUUUACGAGAAUCAGAGGCCCCCCCACCAUUUUGGCUAGCUCGACACGCAAAAAAGCCUUGGUUCUCGAUCAACGACCCGAAAACGAGCCAAAUACUCGUGAAUUUCAGCUUCUUGGGCGCCAGACAUGGUCUUGGCCUCAAAAAUUAUGAUUCUUGAAAAAAUUAAUGUCUGUUCCUGUCACUUUACUUUUUGUUCUUAAUGUAUAUAUAGGGGGGCACCAGUGAAGGAUCCGUCGUGGCGUUAGACUAGCGUCAAGCCCCCCAACUAGUCACGAGUCCCAAUCGUUGAGACGGAUCCGCCGGUGGGUGAUAGUGUUCCAAAUUUUUGGGGCACAUGACGGUAAAGAUCAGUAGCAAAUAUCGGUUACCUAGUGAGAAUACAAUGAAUGGAUCGUGGCCUAUAAAGAUCAGUAACAAAUUGUCAAUCCCCCCACCUAGUCACGUGUCCCAAAGCUUGGGACACACGGUAUGGUUGAGACGGAUCUGUUGGUGGGGGAUCGUGUUCUAAAUUUUUGGGGCACAUGUUGGUAUGCUCGAGACGAAUUCCUGGUCGGUGAUCGGUUGCCUAGUGAGAAUAUAUAAAAUGGAAUGUGGCCUAUAAUGAUCAGUUGCAUAUUGUGAUUUGUUGUCUAGCGUCCCUAUGGUUGCCUCACAUGUCCCGAUGCUUGUCUAUAACAAAGCUAGGCUUCAAGACGGUUGGUUAGUGAUUGGUUACCUAGUCAAAAUAUAUACUGAAUGGAUUGUUGAGGGUUGAAAACAUGGACGUACAAACACCAAUCGGCCUUUGACCCGAUUGCUGAGUGUUAUGUGCUUGAUGUUGAAGAUUCUUGGCGUCUUUGACGUAUGUUAAAUAGAUAAUCAGUUGCUUCACGGCAUAAUAGAGCUAAUCAGUUGGCUUGCAACAUAGCAAUUUUGUCUUAGAUUUCAUUGAGGCAUGGUGACCAUAGGGACGGGAAGGUGGCUUUCGAGAAUUUUCGCAUCGUUCGGUUCAUUUUGGGGGCUAUUUUGGCUUUUGGUUUCCUACAUAGUGAUUGUGCUAUGUUGGUGGCUAAUUGUUGGAUGGUCUUUGAGAAUGUAGGCCGUAAAGGUGCAUGAGUGGUGUUUGGUUUGUUAUGGGUGGUUGGCUCUUUGCUUGUGCAACAACUUCCACCUGUCUUACCUUUUCAGAAUAUGUUUGGGCUUAUUUAGUCUAAGCAGUCAUUGGGUUUUCUGUGCUCACUUCCUAUGUUAUGGCAUUCUCCUGAUUUAUUGGUCUUACUUUUUGACGUGUGUCAUUGUCAUGAUACAUGAGAACUUUGAAGUAGUCAUUUGUACCACAAUCUUAAUGCAUGUGUUAAUCUUGUGGCUCGGUGUUGCUUGGUAUCUUGAAUAUAGAAUAUGAUGUGGGCAAAAGGGGUUUCUUGUAUCCUUGAUUUGUCCUUAUUCGGCGUUCGGACUUUAAGGAAAUGACUGUUUAUCCCGUCUUGUGCAUGUGCUAAAGCGGGGGAGAUGUGUCAAAGAAGAAUGCUAC
rnacentral:misc_RNA from 1 species